rnacentral:rRNA from 1 species
UAUUAUUUUUGAUGUUAAUUAUUUAACCUGAGUAGUAAUAGAUAUGGUCUUGAAACUUAAAGAAUUUGGCAGUAUUUUAUUCUGUUCAGAGGAACCUGUUCUUUUAUCGAUAAUCCUCGUUGGACCUUACUUAAUUUAUUUGAUUUGUAUACCGCCGUUGUAUUGAGGAUCUUUAUAGUGUUUUAAUUUUCUGGUUUUUAUUUUAAGUUAUUUCAGGUCAAGGUGCAAUUUAUGAUUAAGUGGAAAUGGGUUACUUUUAUAUUUAUUUUUGGAUUUUUAGAUGAAAUUUUAAUAUGAAAUUGGAUUUGAAUGUAAUUAUUAUUUUAGAUUGUAUUGAUGAUUUAGUUUCUAGAAUGUGUACACAUCGCCCGUCGCUCUCGUUAUUUAUUCGAG